UACGAAGGGAGCUAGCGUUACUCGGAAUCACUGGGCGUAAAGCGUGCGCAGGCGGUCUGAGAAGUUGGAAGUGAAAGCCCAGGGCUCAACCCUGGAACUGCUUUCAAAACUCUUAGACUAGAGUGUUGGAGGGGAUAGUGGAAUUUCUAGUGUAGAGGUGGAAUUCGUAGAUACUAGAAGGAACACCAGAGGCGAAGGCGACUAUCUGGCCAAAUACUGACGCUGUUGCACGAAGGCGUGGGGAGCAAAC
rnacentral:rRNA from 1 species